rnacentral:rRNA from 1 species
CCUACGGGAGGCAGCCGUGGGGAAUAUUGCGCCAUGGGGGAAACCCUGAUGCAGCGACGCCGCGUGGGUGCAGGAGCGUUUCGGCGCGUACAGCCCUAUCGGCAGGGCAGAUGAUGACGGUACCUGACCAAGCCGCCCCGGCUAACUACGUGCCAGCAGCCGCGGUAAUACGUAGGGUGCAAGCUUUAUCCUGAUUUACUGGGUGUAAAGGGGGCGCAGGUGGCAGUGCAAGUCAGGUGUGAAAGCGCGGGGCGCAACCCCGGGACUGCACUUGAAAUUGCAUAGCUGGAGUACAGGAGGGGCAGGCGGAAUUCCGAGUGUAGCGGUGAAAUGCGUAGAUAGUAGGAGGAACACCGGUGGCGAAGGCGGCCUGCUGGACUGUGACUGACGCUGAGGCCCGAAGGCGUGGGGAGCAAACAGGAUUAGAUACCCGAGUAGUC